CUUCAGCUUAAGAAAAACCGUACCGCAAACCGACACAGGUAGGCAGGGUGAGAAUCCCAAGGCGCUUGAGAGAACUCGGGUGAAGGAACUAGGCAAAAUGGCACCGUAACUUCGGGAGAAGGUGCGCCCUUUGGUGUGGUCACGUGCGUGACUGAGCAUCGAAGGGUCGCAGUAACCUGGCCGCUGCGACUGUUUAUCAAAAACACAGCACUCUGCAAACACGAAAGUGGACGUAUAGGGUGUGACGCCUGCCCGGUGCUGGAAGGUUAAUUGAUGGGGUCAGCCGCAAGGCGAAGCUCUUGAUCGAAGCCCCAGUAAACGGCGGCCGUAACUAUAACGGUCCUAAGGUAGCGAAAUUCCUUGUCGGGUAAGUUCCGACCUGCACGAAUGGCGUAACGACAGCGGCGCUGUCUCCACCCGAGACUCGGUGAAAUUGAAAUCGCUGUGAAGAUGCAGCGUUCCCGCGGCAAGACGGAAAGACCCCGUGAACCUUUACUAUAGCUUUACACUGAACGUUGAGUUCUUCUGUGUAGGAUAGGUGGGAGGCUAUGAAACCAGGACGCUAGUUCUGGUGGAGCCAUCCUUGAAAUACCACCCUGAAGUGCUUGACGUUCUAACCUAGGCCCGUAAUCCGGGUCAGGGACCGUGUAUGGUGGGUAGUUUGACUGGGGCGGUCUCCUCCCAAAGAGUAACGGAGGAGCACGAAGGUACGCUCAGCGCGGUCGGACAUCGCGCACUGUGUGCAAAGGCAUAAGCGUGCUUGACUGCGAGAUCGACGGAUCAAGCAGGUACGAAAGUAGGUCUUAGUGAUCCGGUGGUUCUGUAUGGAAGGGCCAUCGCUCAACGGAUAAAAGGUACUCCGGGGAUAACAGGCUGAUACCGCCCAAGAGUUCAUAUCGACGGCGGUGUUUGGCACCUCGAUGUCGGCUCAUCACAUCCUGGGGCUGUAGCCGGUCCCAAGGGUAUGGCUGUUCGCCAUUUAAAGUGGUACGCGAGCUGGGUUCAGAACGUCGUGAGACAGUUCGGUCCCUAUCUGUCGUGGGCGUUGGAGAUUUGAGGGGGGCUGCUCCUAGUACGAGAGGACCGGAGUGGACGUUCCGCUGGUGUUCGGGUUGUCAUGCCCAUGGCAUUGCCCGGUAGCUACGAACGGAAGUGAUAACCGCUGAAAGCAUCUAAGCGGGAAGCACGCCCCAAGAUGAGAUCUCCCGAGAGCUUGACUCUCCUAAAGGCACCAUCAAGACUAGGUGGUUGAUAGGUCAGGUGUGGAAGCGCAGCAAUGCGUUGAGCUAACUGAUACUAAUGAGCCGUGAGGCUUGACAA
rnacentral:rRNA from 1 species